UGGGGUAUGGCCAAGCGGUUAAGGCACAGGGUUUUGAUCCCUGCAUCCCAGGUUCGAACCCUGGUACCCCAGCCA
rnacentral:tRNA from 2 species